GGCCACCAAUGCCAAUCUACAGACAAUAAACAAAAACAGAAACUAUUUGGUUGAAAACCUAAGCAAAUCAACAUUUAAGGAUCUCCUGGAUGACCUUCUGCAAGAUAAAGUCCUGAGUGAUGCAGAGAGAGAUGAAAUUCUUGAAACAACUCCAGUCACAAAAGAUCGGGCCCGCAACCUUGUUGACGUGGUGAAGAGGAAAGGAGAGCAGGCAGUAAGUUGCUUUCUGGUUCAUCUUGAAAAACGAGAUGAGAAUCUUUACAAGAACCUACCUGAACCGCCGAAAGGGAAGUCUACGCAGAAACCAACAGGUGAAAGAAGAUCAUUCGCGAAGGACAGGCCCAAGCCUGAUAACUUCUGAAUAUUCAAUCCAAAGUGUAACUGCAUGAAUCAAUUACCUCAAUAACUUCUUUAAAUGUGAGCAAGAUGGGCAAUUACCAGUGAUAACUGUGCCAUUUUCUGUAAUCUAAAUAGACAUUAAAGUCAAAUUCAAAUGAUCAUGCCAUAUUUUUUCCUGAAUCACAAUUACUCUCCUCACAGCUUUCCAUGUUUCCUUGAGAAGAUGUAAAUCCAUGGAACAACGGGCCAGAAAUUAAAAAUAGCAGUACAGGAAAAAAAGUAAAGAUGAAACACUAAUUACUAAAAGUAUAAUAUUUGGAUAACCAUGCAAUCCCUGAGUAAUAAAGUUGUAAUUUCUGUGCACUACUAAAUAUUUUUAAUACAGCAAACCCAUGAUAAUACUGUUUACGAUUUGCUAUUACUAUAUUUAUUUGCUGAAAUACCUCAUACUGAUGCAAUCAUUAAUCCUGUAUGUUAAAUAGGCUAAAAUGUACAGGUUAACUUUGAUGUUACUGUCAAAACAUACAAAGAUGCAUCACAUUAAUAAAGGUCAACUAAGUAACUCAA